rnacentral:rRNA from 1 species
GAUGAACGCUGGCGGCGUGCUUAACACAUGCAAGUCGAACGAUGAAGCCCAGCUUGCUGGGCGGAUUAGUGGCGAACGGGUGAGUAACACGUGAGUAACCUGCCCUUGACUCUGGGAUAAGCCCGGGAAACUGGGUCUAAUACCGGAUAGGAGCGCCUGUCGCAUGACGGGUGCUGGAAAGAUCUUUCGGUCAUGGAUGGACUCGCGGCCUAUCAGCUUGUUGGUGAGGUAACGGCUCACCAAGGCGACGACGGGUAGCCGGCCUGAGAGGGUGACCGGCCACACUGGGACUGAGACACGGCCCAGACCCCUACGGGAGGCAGCAGUGGGGAAUAUUGCACAAUGGGCGAAAGCCUGAUGCAGCGACGCCGCGUGAGGGAUGACGGCCUUCGGGUUGUAAACCUCUUUCAGCAGGGAAGAAGCGAAAGUGACGGUACCUGCAGAAGAAGCACCGUCUAACUACGUG